UAACACAUGCAAGUCGAGCGAGCCCUUCGGGGAUAGCGGCGGACGGGUGAGUAACGCGUGGGAACGUACCCUCUUCUGCGGAAUAGCCACUGGAAACGGUGAGUAAUACCGCAUACGCCCUUCGGGGGAAAGAUUUAUCGGAGGAGGAUCGGCCCGCGUUGGAUUAGGUAGUUGGUGGGGUAAUGGCCUACCAAGCCUACGAUCCAUAGCUGGUUUUAGAGGAUGAUCAGCCACACUGGGACUGAGACACGGCCCAGACUCCUACGGGAGGCAGCAUUCGCCCGCCGCGCCCCGC
rnacentral:rRNA from 1 species